rnacentral:rRNA from 1 species
GACGAACUGUGCGAACGUUAUUCGGAAUCACUGGGCUUACAGGGUGCGUAGGCGGCGCUUUAAGUCAGGUGUGAAAGCCCUCAGCUCAACUGAGGAAUUGCGCUUGAAACUGGAGUGCUGGAGUGAGGCAGGGGUGUGUGGAACUUCCAGUGGAGCGGUGAAAUGUGUUGAUAUUGGAAGGAACGCCGGUGGCGAAAGCGACACACUGGGCCUUAACUGACGCUGAGGCACGAAAGCCAGGGUAGCGAACGGG